rnacentral:tRNA from 1 species
GCGCGGGUGGCGGAAUAGGUAGACGCGCUAGCUUGAGGUGCUAGUCCUCGCAUAAGAGGGUGGGGGUUCAAGUACCCCUCCGCGCA